GUGCUCGCUUGGGCAGCACAUAUACUAAAAAUUGGAAUGAUACAGAGAAAAUUAGCAUGGCCCCUGCGCAAGAAUGACAUGCAAAUUCAUGAAGCGUUCCAUAUUUUA
rnacentral:snRNA from 1 species